rnacentral:lncRNA from 1 species
GGUACCUUCACUCACUCCAUUCUUACUUUCCAGGCUGACGGGUGCCUCUGGGAGUUUCAUGCCACCUCACCUGUAUGUGCAAAUAUGACCAGAAGGUGGCAUGUGGAAGAGAAUACAAGAGCAGUGCAGUAUUAAAAGCUUGAUUCAGGCCUUAAAAUACUGAUGACAAGGAAGAGUUAAUAGUCUCACCUUCCUCCUCCUUUGGGCAAAUCUUCACCUAAACUGUUUCCCCGCACUUCCACUGCUGCAGCAGCCACAGAAAGAACACACAGCAGUGCAGGGUGUAGCAUUUGAUCUUUAUUGCUUGGAUCAAAUGUCAAACAAUUACAUCGGUCUGAAAGAUUACAACAAUGAAGGCCAACAAUGUAAGAAAAGGUAGUUUCAUCUCAUUCAGAAGACUGCGUCUGAGCUAGCGAGUGCAUUAACAGUCGGAAGGUAGUGAAACAGACACAGCUACACAAGGCCAGGAUGAAGGUUUUUACCUCCCUGUGCUGCUUCGGUCAGGGCUGCAUGGCAGGAAGAGGAGGGCAGGACAUGGGCAGCUGCUCGGGGCAGUGCUGGGGCACUGCAGUCCUCACCAGUGCCUCCCAGAGCAGUCACACAGCAGGCAGAACGGAGCGCUCGCUGCACAGUUACAUUCACUGUCUACAUUUGCUCUCUCCAGCUAGAAAGGGGUGGAUGCAGUUGAUGAUUUAGUACCUAAAGUCCCACAGACAACUUCAUCAUUUUUUCUCUUCAAGUAUCAGCAUAACAGUUUAUUUACACUUCUAUACAACCUUUUUUUUUUCCUUUUUUUUUUUUUAAGUGAACACCCACUUAGUAAAACACUCACAGUAUAUUCGAAAGCAGGCUAUAAAAAUACCUACUGUACAUAAAACAUUUAGCCUCAAGGAAUUAUACAGCACCUCCAAAAGGGUGGGGAGGUCAGAGAAGGGGAGGAAAGAGCAGCCUCCAGCUCACCUCUUGCUCAGGGGAAUCUGUCCUUCUACCACGUCCCUUGGAGCAGGUGUGGUCCCCUGCUUCCCCAGCCCCUCUAACCCGGGCACACAUCUCAAAGGAAGAGCUGUGGAAUGGCUCCUGCCCACGGCAGAGGUCUGGAGGAGCACAGCCCUGCCUUCCCAAGCAAAGAACACAAAAAAUUAGGGGGAGAAAAGUGUUUCUAUGCGUUUGGCACAAAGAUGGCCUUGGUUACUAUGCAUCAAUAAAUUAAGUACGCCGAGCACAAACGCUGCGAACACAGCUGAAUGAAGGAAGGGCUGAGACAGACGGUGCUGAGUUAAUGGGUCACACACACACACAAAGCUCGAGCCAGCAGCGCUCACGGCCCGUGUUCCUGGUCACUCCGUGCCCUCCCUUUUCCUCUUCUGCAGCGGAACCCAGCGAUGUGAUAUGGCUUACUUCCUCAGCAGAGCAGCUCGCUGACAUUAGCUUAUUAAAACAAACCACGACAGACAGCAGCACGUUAUCUUACAAAUCCUGCAUGAACAGAAGACAGUGCAUCCCCAACCCAUCAAACGACGUUAGGAGGACCCCGUAUUUCACACAGGAAUUGAACAAACAGAGUUCUGUUAUGUUUUGUUGUUAAAUCAACAAUGUACACAGUUAAGGUUCGGUCACUUGAAUAGAAGUCCUUAAGAAAAAGAAUAAAAAUUAAACAAACAAACAAAAAGCACCGUCCAUCACCAAAAAGGCAGUCCUUUCCAGGACGAAGCCAGCACACUUCAGCUGUGGGGUAACACACCAAACACACAGCAGUUCAGUACUUAGGAGGUCGUCCCCUCAACAGACACAGAGAAGCCCAUUUGUAGCACUGAAGUUUCACAGAGAACUACAGAACAGCAGCAAAGAAUUUGGGCAGUGGGAGGUUGCUUAAAAACAACAAUAAUUAAAAGACAAAAAGGCAUACGUGCAGUGUGACAGAAGUUUCACACUUUACCUGAUGUUUUCUUGCAUGAGCUAUAAGAAAGGUGAAACGCCACCUCACCUUCCUGUACUGUUUCCUGAUGUAUGUGUUAGAUGUGGCUAUAAAGAGAAACGGACACGUUGAAAUUCAUCCAAAUUUGCCUCAAAAAUCACAGUGCUAAAAAGAAAAGCAGCUCCUCCGGCCUCUGCAUCCUCAGCCCUUCCCCAGCUCACGGUCAGAACAGCUGCCCGGCCCUCCUGCAGCUGAGCACACACCGGGGCACUGCUCUGCCCGCUCCCACUGCCCAGGCUGCUGUCAUACACACAUCCCACAGCCAUUACUUCAAGCUCUGCCCUCCACUGUGCUCCACACUACAGCCGGCCCCUGGAACACGUUACAACCCUGCUCAAGCAGCAGGAUCUAUCAGGUGGUGAAACUCAUUGGAAUCGAUUUGUUUUCCAAGGGGAAGGUCUCCCCCUCUCAUAACAAUGUAAGUGUUUUGGGCAAACCCAAGAUCAGUGAGAGACAGAAGCUAGCACAGCUGAUGAGCUUUCUGAUUAGAAGUAGCUUCGCAUCACAAAGCCUACAAUGCUCUCAAUGCAGGAUUCCCUUUGUGUUAAAUAAGCCUCCCCAUAAUUCUAGGCAAUCAUUCACAGUAGAAAUAAGAGAAAUUCUUAGAAAAAAACACUUAAAGAAAGUAAAGUCUAGUUAAAAUCUGACAGUAAAAUUGACACGGGCAGUUAACCAUCUUGCAGAUGAACCCACACCCACAGAUGAACACUAAAAGCCACUGAAACAGCACAACUUUACAUACAGAAGUCUAAAACCAACUGGACUCCGCCGCCAUGGGUUUCUUUUUACCGCUACCUUUUGGCACCAGGAGUUCACCACAACUACAGCUUUUCUCCAAAGAAGGUGAAUCACAUUCGGAAUGUCUGAAGGUGGAGGGGAGCUGCGCCCCGCCUGGCGCCCAGCGACGCCUUCACUGUUCUCAAGGGCCUGAGCUGCUGCUCCGUGCUCAGGUGCUGGAGGAAGGGCUGCUGCCUCCGGAGCUGCAGCUAUAGGUGGUUGGGUACUGUCCUCAAGGCUUCUUCUCUCGACCGGUCCACGCCUACAUUCUCAGGUUUAUCUCUGUGUGUGUUUACAGCUUCAACAUUCAGAAAUAUAGAUUCUACUUUAC